rnacentral:rRNA from 1 species
AUUGAACGCUGGCGGAAUGCUUUACACAUGCAAGUCGAACGGUAGAGGGGGCAACCCCUCGAGAGUGGCGAACGGGUGAGUAAUAUAUCGGAACGUGCCCAGUCGUGGGGGAUAACGUAGCGAAAGUUACGCUAAUACCGCAUACGAUCUACGGAUGAAAGCGGGGGAUCGCAAGACCUCGCGCGAUUGGAGCGGCCGAUAUCAGAUUAGGUAGUUGGUGGGGUAAAGGCUCACCAAGCCAACGAUCUGUAGCUGGUCUGAGAGGACGACCAGCCACACUGGAACUGAGACACGGUCCAGACUCCUACGGGAGGCAGCAGUGGGGAAUUUUGGACAAUGGACGCAAGUCUGAUCCAGCCAUUCCGCGUGCAGGAUGAAGGCCCUCGGGUUGUAAACUGCUUUUGUACGGAACGAAAAGGUUUCUAUUAAUACUAGGAGCUCAUGACGGUACCGUAAGAAUAAGCACCGGCUAAACUACGUG